rnacentral:rRNA from 1 species
AAUCUUCCGCAAUGGACGAAAGUCUGACGGAGCAACGCCGCGUGAUUGAUGAAGGAUUUCUGAUCGUAAAACACUGUUGUUAGGGAAGAACAAGUAUCGGAGUCACUGCCGGUACCUUGACGGUAUCUGACGUGAAAGCCACGGCACACUACGUGCCAGCAGCCGCGGUAAUAAGUAGGUGGCAAGCGUUGUCCGGAUUUAGUGGGCGUAAAGCCCGCGCAGGCGGUCUUUUAAGUCUGAUGUGAAAUCUUCCCGCUUAACUGUAAGCGGUCAUUGGAAGCUGGGAGACUUGAGUGCAGAAGAGGAGAGUGGAAUUCCAUGUGUAGCGGUGAAAUGCGUAGAGAUAUGGAGGAACACCAGUGGCGAAGGCGACUCUCUGGUCUGUAACUGACGCUGAGGCGCGAAAGCGAGGGGAUCAAACA